AACAUACCACCUGCGAACCACAGGAGAGUCAGCAACGCUCAUGACCCACCGGAACAAAAGAUAUACACUUUCCAGAUCAGAACUACCCGCCUGUGUGCCUACCUCCUCUUAUGUGAAAAGUCUGAAGUCUUUUUCCUGCUGGGCUUGUCUAUGUAAGAAGUUAAGAAGAGGGUAUUCCAGAAUGUCAGACGAAGGCGGAUGCCAUUAAAUAAAGAACGCCGGCAUGGAUGGAACAAAGGCGGCCCCAUUAAAGGACUCAUGAAUACAGAUUCAGAACCUCACCAGUUCAGACUGCACAACAUGUCUUGGAGAGGCUAAAAUAGCCAUGUUUGCAAUUUGUCAAAGCCGAAGAGGGGCUCGUUCGGUGCUCCAUGGAUGCACAAUUAGAUAUGAGCAAUAUCCAUUUACUGAUUAAACGAAAUGGCUCUCAAAAAGAUUAGAUUUUUCUGUCUACCAUAUAUGUACCCCAUAGAGCGAGUCCAUUCUUAUCCCCUUCGAUGUUCUUAUUCUUGUUU